rnacentral:rRNA from 1 species
UACGGAGGGGGCGAGCGUUAUUCGGAAUUAUUGGGCGUAAAGGGCGCGUAGGCGGCCUUGCAAGUCAAAGGUGAAAUCCCUCAGCUCAACUGAGGAACUGCCUUUGAAACUGCACGGCUUGAGGCCGGGAGGGGGUAGCGGAAUUCCCAGUGUAGCGGUGAAAUGCGUAGAUAUUGGGAGGAACACCAGUGGCGAAGGCGGCUACCUGGACCGGUUCUGACGCUGAUGCGCGAAAGCGUGGGGAGCAAACAGG